rnacentral:misc_RNA from 1 species
GAUGAAGAACGCAGCGAAAUGCGAUAAGUAAUGCGAAUUGCAGAUUACAGUGAGUCAUCGAAUCUUUGAACGCACAUUGCGCCCGCCAGUAUUCUGGCGGGCAUGCCUGUUCGAGCGUCAUUUCAACCAUCAAGCCCCCGGGCUUGCGUUGGGGCCCUGCGGCUGCCGCAGGCCCCGAAAAGCAGUGGCGGGCUCGCUAGUCACACCGAGCGCAGUAGCACAUCUCGCUCAGGGCGUGCGGCGGGCUCCUGCCGUGAAACCCCCCACUGUAACCCCAAAGGUUGACCUCGGAUCAGGUAGGAUUACCCGCUGAACUUAAGCAUAUCAAUAAGCGGAGGA